AGAGUUUGAUCCUGGCUCAGGGUUAACGCUGGCGGCGCGCAUAACACAUGCAAGUCGAGCGAGGGCUAAUCUCCCGCAAGGGAGGUGAGUUCCUAGCGGCGAACGGGUGAGUAACACGUGGGCAACCUUUCCUAUCGCGGGGGAUAACACCGGGAAACCGAUGCUAAUACCGCAUGUCGUCACCGGUCGCAUGGCCGGUGAAGAAAGCAGCAAUGCACGAUGGGGUGGGCCCGCGGCCUAUCAGCUAGUCGGUGGGGUAACGGCCUACCGAGGCGAUGACGGGUAGCUGGUCUGAGAGGACGACCAGCCACACGGGGACUGAGACACGGCCCCGACUCCUACGGGAGGCAGCAGUGAGGAAUCUUCCGCAAUGGGCGAAAGCCUGACGGAGCGACGCCGCGUGUGGGAUGAAGUCUUUCGGGAUGUAAACCACUGUCGGAGGGGAAGACAUCGACGGUACCCUCCAAGAAAGCCCCGGCUAACUACGUGCCAGCAGCCGCGGUAAUACGUAGGGGGCAAGCGUUAUCCAGAUUUACUGGGCGUAAAGCGCGUGU
rnacentral:rRNA from 1 species